rnacentral:rRNA from 1 species
UCAAUGAUUUUUUAAAUUGCUGUAGUAUUUUGACUAUACAAAGGUAUUGAAAUAAGAUUUUAAUUGAAUGCUAAGAGAAUGGAAGUCCAGAAAAAAACUUUUUUUAAAUUAAAAAUUGAAGUUUUUUUAAUUUGUGCAGAAACAAUUAUUUAUAUUAAAGACAAGAAGACCCUAUGAAUUUAUUAAAUUUUUAUUUAAUAUGUAAUUACUAUUAGAAAAAUUUUGGCUGGGGCGGCUAGAAAAUAUUAUGAACUUUUUAAAAAUAAAAUGAUCCAUUAUUAAUGAUUUUAUGUUAAAUACUCUAGGG